rnacentral:rRNA from 1 species
AUGAAGGGUGAAGAUGCUGAUGAUACUUUUAAAUGGAUAUGGAAAUCAUGCUGCCUUCCUAAACACAAAUUUUUCUGCUGGCUUAUCCUUAAUGACAGGAUAAACACAUGUGAUCUCUUAACUAGAAAGAGCAUGCAUCUUGAUUCCACUACAUGUGUGUUGUGUAAUGCUGAAGACAUGGAAGAUAGAAUGCACCUCCUCUUCACUUGUCCAUUUAGUCAAGGUUGUUGGUGGGAUAUUGGAUUUGAAUGGAAUUCAGACUUGGAUAUACACAGAAUGAUCAUGGAUACCAUAGAUACAAAAUCAAACAUUUUUAUGGAAAUUAUGAUAGUGGGUUGCUGGAGUAUUUGGAACCAGAGAAAUGGGAUGAUAUUUGAGGGGAUACCCUGCUCAAUUAAUGAAUGCAAAUAUGUUUUCAUCAGAUUUUUCAAGAUUACCUUGAUGAGAGCCAAACCAUCUCUGAAAGAUGGCAUGUCAUCCUGGAUUGACAACCUUUAA